rnacentral:rRNA from 1 species
GAAUCCCGUCUUUGACACGGACUACCAGGGCUUUGUGAUGUGCUCUCAAAGAGUCGAGUUGUUUGGGAAUGCAGCUCUAAAUGGGUGGUAAAUUCCAUCUAAAGCUAAAUAUUGGCGAGAGACCGAUAGCGAACAAGUACCGUGAGGGAAAGAUGAAAAGCACUUUGGAAAGAGAGWGAAACACUGUACGUGAAAUUGUUGAAAGGGAAACGCUUAAAGUCAGUCGCGUCGACCGAGACUCAGCCUCGCUCCGGCUUGGUGUAUUUCUCGGCCUGACGGGUCAGCGUCAAUUUGGUCCCUCGGAUAAUGGCAAGGGAAAGGUGGCACCUUUACGGGUGUGUUAUAGUCUUUUGUCGCAUGCGAGGGGCGAGAUUGAGGAACUCAGCACGCGCGCCCUUCUGGGUGUGUCGGGGCCUCGGCCCACGCCACGUGCUUAGGAUGCUGGCGUAAUGGCUUUAAACGACCCGUCUUGAAACACGGACCAAGGAGUCUAACAUGCCCGCGAGUGUUCGGGUGGAAAACCCGUGCGCGCAAUGAAAGUGAAAGUUGGGACCUUCGUCGUGAAGGGCACCGACGCCCGGACCAGACCUUCUGUGACGGAUCUGCGGUGGAGCGUGCAUGUUGGGACCCGAAAGAUGGUGAACUAUGCCUGAAUAGGGUGAAGCCAGAGGAAACUCUGGUGGAGGCUCGUAGCGAUUCUGACGUGCAAAUCGAUCGUCAAAUUUGGGUAUAGGGGCGAAAGACUAAUCGAACCAUCUAGUAGCUGGUUCCUGCC